AAUUAUAGCUUAAAAUGUUAAAAGCAAUUUCAUGUAUCAAUCUUCUUCCAAUGACCUGAUUUUAUUGUCAUUGGACCUAAUUAAAUCCUAAUAUUAUUUAAUUAAAAUUGAAAAAAUUACAUUCUAUCAUAAAACCAAAAGAAUUAAAAAGAAUUUUAAAUCGAAUAAAAAAUUAUUUAUAAUAUGAAGAAAAAAGAAAUUUUAAAAUAAUUUUAGAAAAAAAAGACAAAUUAAACAAAAGAAAGUUAGAAAAUUAAAUAAAGAAUAUUUAAAUAUUAUUUAAUUAAAAUUGAAAAAAUUAAGUUUUAUCAUAAAGAGAAAAGAAUUAAAAAAAAUUAAUCGUGAGAGCAAAAAUGACAUCGUGUUGUUUUCAAUCAUUUUUCCAUUUUCACAUGCAACUUCACUGCAACAAUCACCUCAACUGCAAUAUUUCUCCAUUUUCACAUGCUCUUCACUUCAUC
rnacentral:lncRNA from 1 species